rnacentral:lncRNA from 1 species
CACAUAUACGUAUCCGGUCUGUGACUUAGAGUCAUCCGGAUCUGUGUCGAAGCUAGCGUCGACGUAACCCUUUACGACGAGCUCUUCGUCACCUCCAUAAACGAGAAACAUUUCCUUAGUCCUUUUCAUGUACUUAAGGAUAUUCUUGACCGCUGUCCGGUGCUCCAUACCGGGAUCACUUUGGUACCUCCCUACCAAGCUUAUGGCAAGGUUUAUAUGAGGUUGGGUACACAGCAUGGCAUACAUUAGAGAGCCCACGGCUGAUGCGUAGGGGACAUAACUCAUCUUCUCUCUAUCUGCUGCCGUGGUCGGCGACUGAGUCUUAGUCAAUCUCAUAGCUUGCAAAACUGGCAAGAACCCUUUCUUUGAGUUUUCCAUAUUGAACUUCAAUAUCUUGUCAAGGUAUGUACUUUGCGAAAGACCUAUGAGGCAUCUCGAUCUAUCUCUAUAGAUCUUGAUGCCUAAUAUGUAUGCAGCUUCUCCAAGGUCCUUCAUUGAAAAACUCUUGUUCAAAUAGGCCUUUAUGCUCUCCAACAUCUCUAUAUUAUUCCCCAUCAAUAAUAUGUCAUCCACAUACAGUAUGAGGAAAGCUACAGAGUUCCCACUCACUUUCUUGUACAGUCAGGCUUCUCCGUAAACCUGUAUGAACCCAAACGCUUUAAUCACCUCAUUAAAGCGAAUGUUCCAACUCCGAGAUGCUUGCACCAGCCCAUAGAUGGAGCGCUGGAGCUUGCACACUUUGCUAGCACCCUUAGGGUNNNNNNNNNNNNNNNNNNNNNNNNNNNUUGCUAGCACCCUUAGGGUCGACAAAACCUUCUGGUUGCGUCAUAUACAACUCUUCCUUAAGGUUCCCGUUAAGGAACACUGUUUUGACGUCCAUUUGCCAAAUUUCAUAAUCAUAAAAGGUGACAAUUGCUAACAUGAUUCGGACUGAUUUCAGCUUCGCUACGGGAGAGAAAGUCUCUUCGUAGUCAACUCCUUGAAUUUGUCGAAAACCCUUUGCGACAAGUUGAGCUUUGUAAAUGGUUACAUUACCGUUUGCAUCAGUCUUCUUCUUGAAGAUCCAUUUACUUUCUAUGGCUCGCCGCUCAUUGGGCAAUUCCACCAAAGUCCAUACUUUGUUCUCACACAUGGAUCCUAUCUCGGAUUUCAUAGCCUCAAGCCAUUUGUUGGAAUCCGGGCCCGCCAUCGCUUCUUCAUAGUUCGAAGGUUCACCGUUGUCUAACAACAUGAUUUCCAUCACAGGGCUGCCGUACCACUCUGGUGCGGAGCGUGCCCUUGUGGACCUUCGCGGUUCAGUAGUAACUUGAUCCGAAGCUUCAUGAUCAUCAUCAUUAACUUCCUCUUCAGUUGGUGUAGGCGCCACAGGAACAACUUCCCGCGUUGAGCUACUAUCCUGUUCGAGAGGGGGUGUAAUUACCUCAUCAAGUUCUACCUUCCUCCCACUUACUUCUUUCGAGAGAAACUCUUUCUCUAGAAAGGAUCCGUUCUUGGCAACAAAGGUUUUACCUUCGGAUCUAAGNNNNNNNNNNNNNNNNNNNNNNNNNNNNNNNNNNNNNNNNNNNNNNNNNNNNNNNNNNNNNNNNNNNNNNNNNNNNNNNNNNNNNNNNNNNNNNNNNNNNGUGAUAGUGAUGAUGAUGAUGCAUUUAUUGAUGAUGAUUAUUAGUUUGUAAGAUUCACAACUUAAAUUAUAUAUAUUUUAAUCUUUAUUAUUCAUGUACAUAUUAUUAUUCAUGUCAGUUAUUCAAUUUUUUUAUGUUGUACUAAUUUCUUUUAAUCUUUAUCAUGGCAGGUCACCUGGUGUUGAAAGAUGGUGGGCGCUGGUCCAGAGCGCUCGACGGGUUCUUCCCAGCCGCCCCGCACGAGGGGUGGUACUUCCCUUCCACCCCUAUGUCUCCGUAGAGCCUUGGCAGACAGUCUGUCGACACCACCCGUGGGUUCUUCUUCGUCGGCGGCAUUGCCCACUGGGAGAGGUGCUCUUCGGGUAGGGAAGAAGGGGAAGGGUACAUGGAGAGGUGGUGGCCACGGAAGAUCCAGGAGGACUGUUGAGCCGUCCUCGCCACCACCACCAGCUCAUUCACCCGAGCAUACGACUACUAUGGUCGACCCGUUUGCGGAAGAGGCUACGGGGACUCCGGUCUAGGAGCGUGGUGUUGACGGGCAUUCGUCCCAUGAGACUCCGGUCCAGGAUCAGCCUCGGGUCGAGGUGCAUUCGUCCCACGAGACUACGUUUCCGGAGGCUUCACCCGACGUGGAGAGGCCCGGAUGGGAUACCUGGCCGGAUCGGACCGAGUUGCCGGAUUGGACCGAGGGUCCGAGUGGCUCAGGGGGCUGGGAUGGCGGGGAUGAGUUUACGGAUAGUGAGGGCGAUGUGCAGGUGGACGGGGCCACCGUGUACAAGAGUGGUAGUACACGUCUCCCGGUCGUGCCGGCUACCCGCGAGCAGAGGCCGGUGAUUAAACCUGAAGGAGAUAGGUAAGUACAUUUACUCUUUUUUAGCUUUUGCCUUCAAGUUUGUUCAAAUAUCUAAUGUGUUGACCUUAUCAUACUGCAGGGGAUGGGUACACCCUAUUGGAGUCCGCAGGCCGAACUCCGUCCUUGGUGUGCUUUGCCGGACAAAUUUCCCGGGGUUUGUCACGUUGCUUGGUGAGGGUCAGGUUCCUACACUAGGAUUUUCCUGGGAGCACUACCAGGCUGCGCAAGCCCCGCCGGAAGAGAUUAUAGAUGGUGUCUUGUGACACACGAGGGUCGAGAUGGUGAUCAAGAGCUUUUGGGUAAAUUAUCCUUUUACACAAUCUAAAAUUAACAAGAUAAGUAAUUAUUGUACUAAUCGGUGUUUUCACGUUUGAUUGCAGACCUUCUAUAGGUGUGAGGAUGGAUAUGAGGAGGAGGCGGCCAAGGUUCUCGAGGCCGAGUGUAGGCGGUUACUACAGAACUUAUGCCACGAGGCUCGGCCGCAGGCUAUUCGAGACUACUAUGCCACGCGUGGUAUUAAGAAGCAGAAGAAGGAUUGCCGCGGAAAGUUUCUGAAGAAGGAGCAAUACAUGAAGGUAAUUACCUAUUCUUAAGUCCUUAUACGUAGUUUUCUUGAUUUCAUUCAUAGGCGUAGCGCUCAAAAUUCUUUCUAAUAACUUACAGGUGCCCCCGAGAUGGUGUGCGGAUAAGAUGGAUUGUUGGGAGGCGUUGGUUGAUGAGUGGUGCACAGGCAGCUGGCGAGCCGUCCACGAGAAUGCGAAGGAUCGGCAUAGCCAAAUGGUUGGUGUGCCACACCAUCAAGGCAACGCCAACUUACUUCAGUUUGGACGAAACUGGGUAUGUGAUUUGCUUCAUGAUUCAUGCAAUUCGUUCUUCAUGCUAGUGUUUUGAUCCUCUCUUUUAGGCGCAUCACAAUAAUACGGAGAUGCCACACUUGUACGACCUUUAUGGCAUGGCCCAUACUGCCUCGUACAAGAAGGCGAAGGCAUUCUCUGAGUCUGACCUGGAUGAUCCCAAUAACUUCACCAACAUAUCAUCCCACCACAAGCUCGUGGCAUACAGGGACGCGGGGAAGGCUAUGAAAGGGGAUGACUUUAACCCUAGCCAGGAACCUUUGGAUCCAAAGCUGGUGAUGAUAUCUGGUGGCAGGAGGCCCCAUGGCUCGAUAGCCAUUGGAGCUGGGAUAAUACGUUGUCCACUCACUCUCCCGGAGAUCAAGGCGCGCCAGUCGAGCAGUUGUCCUGAGAUAACGCGUCGUCCACGGCCAGUCGAUCUUGCCAUCGAGGUUAGUUGUACGGACUAAGAACACUUUCAUCCAUUUCAUUAUGUGUGUCACCAUAGAUCAUUACUGUGGUAACUAGGAGUGGUGUUUCAGGCUGCUCUUCGGAAAGAGAGGUUGGCAAACUAGGCUGCUCUUGAGAAAGAGAGAUUGGCAAACCAGGCUGCUCUUGAGAAAGAGAGAUUGGCAAGCCAGGCUGCUCUUGAUGAGAGGGACCAGACCACGACACGAUUGAUUGAGGAGGAGAGGUCCCGAAAUGAGGCGGGUCAACGGGCCGUGUAUGAGCUUUUUGUGGUAAGUUUUUUUUCACAUUAGCCAAAUCAUGUGUGUAAUGUCUGUUUCAUUACUAACUAAUACGACCCACUCUUCACGGUCAGUGCGAGAUGAGCGGUCAAGUCCCUCCGUCGAUGCCCGUCUUCUCUUCGAUUAGCAUGGUGAGUUUUAUUAUAAACUAGUAUUAAUAAUUUAGUGUCAUCAUGCUAACUCAGACAUUGCAAAAUAUCUAUUCUGCAGAAUAACUCCCGAGCGGCAUCGCCCGACCCUUCUCCACGUAUUUCUCCUCCUUGAUGACCACUACGGUAAGUUUAUAUUCUCCUCUUUCAUAUAAUGACAUAGUUAGCUAAUUUAGCUCCAAGAAGAGGAGAAGAGGAGGAGGAGGAGAAGGAGGAGAAGGCCAAGGACCUUCUAGUCCUUCUCCUCGUCCUCCUCCUUCUCCUCCUUCUUCUUUAUUUCUUCUUCUCCUCCUCCUCCUCCUCUUUCUUCUCCUCUUUCAUAUUCUCCUUGCCUUAAUUUCCCCAACAAUGACAUAAUUAGCCCAUUUAGCUCCAAAAUGCCAUAAUAACCUCAAAAUGGCAUAAGAACCUUGGUUAGCUCAUUAAUAUUAUAUACUUAGCUUGUUUUCCUCUAAAAUGGGACAAUUAGCCCAUUUAGCUCCAAAAAUACAUAGUUAGCUAAUUUAGCUCCAAGAAGAGGAGAAGAGGAGAAGAAAUAGGAAAAAUGAAAAGAAAGAAGAAGAAGAAGAAGAGAAGAAGGAGAAGGAGGAGGAGGAGGAGGAGAAGAAGAAUAAAUAAAGAAGAAGGAGGAGAAGGCCAAGGACCUUCUAGUCCUUCUCCUCCUCCUCCUCCUUCUCCUCCUUCUUCUUUAUUUCUUAUUCUUCUUCUCCUCCUCCUCUUUAUUCUCGUCUUUCAUAUUAUCCUUGCCUUAAUUUCCCUAACAAUGACAUAAUUAGCCAAUUUAGCUCCAAAAAGACAUUAUAAGCUCAAAAUGGCAUAAGAACAUUGGUUAGCACAUUAAUAUUAUAUACUUAGCUUGUUUUCCUCUAUAAUGACAUAGUUAGCUAAUUUAGCUCCAAGAAGAGGAGAAGAGGAGAAAUGAAAAGGAAGAACAAAAAGAAGAAGAGAAAGAGAAGAGAAGGAGAAGGAGAAGAAGGAGGAGGAGAAGAAGGAGAAGGAGGAGGAGGAGGAGGAGGAGGNNNNNNNNNNNNNNNNNNNNNNNNNNNNNNNNNNNNNNNNNNNNNNNNNNNNNNNNNNNNNNNNNNNNNNNNNNNNNNNNNNNNNNNNNNNNNNNNNNNNGAGAAGGCCAAUGUGGCCGUCGAACGCUGCAAAGAGGUGGAAUCCCGCCUGAGCGCCCUCCAAGGGGAACAUGCCAAGCUAGUCGAGCAACGCCGCUCGAAGGAGGAGGAACUCAAGGCCUGUGAGGCCAAGCUUGCCGCCCGGGAGAGGGAGCUGUCCCGGGAGACGAACCGCCUGGGAGCAGAACAGGAGCUCUUGGUUGAGCGGGAGAAGGAUGCCACNNNNNNNNNNNNNNNNNNNNNNNNNNNNNGCGGGAGAAGGAUGCCACCACGAAGGAGGCUCUCCUUGAGGCCUGGGAGAAGGCCCUCGCCGCAGCCAAGGAAAAGAAGGCCUCCGAGCUGGCAUGCUUCCCCGACGUCGAGCUUGUGCUUCGCAAGGCGAUCCACUACCUCUGUCGGGGUGGGUUUGACGAGCCUCUGGCUACCCCGGAGGAAAGCAUUUCCAUGCUCGCGAAUGGGCUCGUCACAGCGCUGCGGGAUGCCGUCAUGCAGAUCGACAAGUCCUUGGCGAGUGAAUGCCACGACCUCUUCUUCGCGGUCGUGACUCGUGUCUUCAGCCACGUUCAUCUUCGCGACCCCGAAUUUGAUCUAAGCUUCGUGAUCAUGUGGUUCCUCCCAGGGCCCGCGACCGCGUCGUGGAGUCGGUGAAGGGUCUUGUGGAGGCGUUGGUGAGGAAGUUCGCCCGCGUCGUGCCCCCCUCGUCACCAGGUACCGCUAGAGGCGACGAUAGGGAAGACAAUGCCUCCGAUGUCGACGACCAGCCCCCUGUGGAGGGGGUGACCGACGGCGGCUCCUCUUGAUCUACUGCACUUGUUAUUUCUCUGCAAUGCACAUCGUGCCUCGUGGAGGCGUCAAACUUAUUUGUGUUUUUUAUGAACUGGGUCAUGGUCUGUAAUAAUUGAAUGCUCGAUUGUUUUCCUCGGCUUGUUCCUAUCAUUUUUUCCGUGUUUCUCUAUGUCGGCAAGGCCGGCCCUGCUCGUACCUUCCCGUGAUUGGACUGACCGGAAACCAAGGACAACCCAAAGGGGGAAGGGGCUAUGAGCGCAGUUAGGCUCCUGAGUCGCGAUGCUCAGGAAUCCCCCUUGACGCGCAAGCUCCUCUCAUGAGGAGGACGUGGUGAAGAUUCCGAAACUUAGAACAUUUUCAGCACUCUGUGUCGGGAGAGCCUGCCCCGCGCAUACCUCGCCGCGAUUGAACCAACCAGAAACCAAGGACGGCCCAAAGGGGGAGUGGCUAUGAGCGUAGUUAGGCCCGUGAGUCGUGAUGCUCAUGGGUGCCCCUUGACGUGCGAGCGACUCCGAUCCUCUUCGUAAGAAACCGAUGGUGUGAGACUCUCGAACUCCUUCAACACUCUGCAUCUGCAGGGCCCGCCCCACGCGUACCUCCCCGCAGUUGAGCCGACCUGAAAGGGGUGGCUAAAAAGGGAAAGGGGCUACGGGCACAGUUCAGGCUCCUGAGUCGCGAUGCUCAGGAGUCACACUUGACAUGCGAGUGACUCCAGCAUUCUUCCUAAGGGAUUUAAAGCGACUUGUUGAGCGCAUUGGGCUAUGUGUCCGCAGGGCCCGCCCCCUGCGUACCUUCCUGCGAUUGAACCGUCCAAGGACGGCCCAAAGAGCGAAGGGGCUACGAGCAUAGUUAGGCCGCUGAGUCGCGAUGCUCAGGGGUCCCCCUUGAUGUGCGAGCGGCUCCGUACCUUCAGUUGUUUGCCCACACGCUGGGUGUGGGCGGAGCUGUGGAUGUAUUGCGCUGAUCCCCUCGAUGGCCUUGGGUGUAGCCAUUGGCGGGCUGUGUUAAUGCCGGUUGAGGGCGUAGUCAUCGGCGGACUAUAUUGGUUGCCCAUGUAUGUACCCAGCGCGGAGCAUAGGUCUUCUACUAGGCAUAGGGUGGACCCCUCCGUGUCCUCGGGGGGCCCUGGGCGUAUAUAGCCUCGGCUCGUUAUUACGUUAGAGUGUCACGGUGGGGGUGUAUAUGGGAGGUCGCGAGAAAGAUAGGGCCUUGCAAGUGUCCCUACCCCGAGGCAUCGGGGCCUGAUCUUCUCCCCAGCGUGGAGCGUAGGUCUGCCACUCGGUAUAGGAUGGACCCCAACNNNNNNNNNNNNNNNNNNNNNNNNNNNNNNNNGACCCCAACGUGUCCUCGGGAGGCCUUGGGCGUAUACAGCCUCGGCUCGUUAUUACGUGAGAGAGUCACAGUGGGGUGUAUAUGGGAGGUCGUGAGGAUGCUAUGGCCUCGCGAGUGUCCCUACCCCCGAGUCAUUGGUGGACUGAAUUGACUUGGUUUGGGUCAUUGGCAAACCCUGCUCACUUCUUCUUUAGGAGAGGGGCUCCGCACCUGCACGAACAAACUUUGACCGGAGCCCCCAAGCGGGGGCCGAUCGCCCGACAAUAUAACCAAGGCGGAACGUUAGGAUGCCAAGCAGGUGCAAUUGAACAACCAAAUGAUGCAUAAACGAAAGUAGUAGCUGGGGAAAGUACAGAGCUCGGGGAGGCCGCAUGGCCCUGGGGUUACCUAUGGACUGGGCGAACCGAAAGGUUACCUGGCAGCGGCCAGCAAAAAGUUACCUAGCGGCCGAGCUGCUGAAGUGCCGGAGGCUCUGUUGUCGCUUGAUUUCCUGGAUCCGCAGUCGCGACCCUCACGGGUCCAUCGCCCCCCGAUCUAGGGGCCUUCGCUUGGCCCGAGCAUCUUCUCCUCCUCCUCGUGGCGCCCAAGCACGCAAGGGAGGAGAAUGGCCUGCUGGAGCCUCUGGUACGUGGCAGCCGCGUUCCUCAGCCCGGAGAGCAUGAAGGCUUCAGUGCUCGGGUACUCCCACCAGUAGCCAGUCUGCGUAGGACAGAAGGGGUCGUGCGCCAUGGCUGCGUUGGUUGCAGACGCGUUAAUGCAGAUGCGGGGCCGGUCAACUGUGCAGACAGCGGCGACUGCGAUGGGUGGUGCGGGGCAGUUACCGUGUCGCAUGGUCUGGGCCUCGAGAAGUUCUCGGAUUUCUUUGAUGACGGACUCGCGAGAUCUGGUCGAACGUGCUCCGGAGUGCGCCCUCGGGAUGUGCUCAGACACCGCCUCUGUCUCACUGAUCAGGCUAGGGGCCUCCCCGGUGGGAGCCCCCUAGCCCUGAUCUAAGAGGGACGCCGAGCGCACAUCCCUAUGCGAUGGGGGGCAGGGAUCCGUCCCCGAGCAUCGAACACAAAGCCCCGAGGCACUCCGCAGGGAGGAACUCCUUCUUGAGCGGGGCUUCGUGAGGCAGCUCGUCAUCUUCAUCAUUUGAGCGUUCUGACGUUGCCGCACGGUACGCUCUCUCCAGUGCGUAGACAUCAUCCUUCUCAUGACAGGGUAUGGUGAUGUCACCACCGCUUCCCGGCAUCUUGAGGACAUUCUAUCCAUGGUGGACCACGACCAUGAACUUGGCAAGCACUGGUUACCCGAGGAUGGCAUUGUAUGGCAGAUGGAUGUGCGCGACGUCGAAGAGGAUGACCUUGGUGUGAUAGUUGUGGCGCUCGCCAAAGGUGACGGGCAGGUGCACUUGCCCAAUGGGUACGGUGGAUCCCUUUGUUACCCCUGAGAAGGGCUUGGUCGGCAUGAGUUGCUCAUACGGCAGCUGGAGCUUCUCGAAGGUCUCGACUGAGAGGAUGUUGAGCCCAGCUCCACUCUCAAUGAGAGUCUUGGUGACGAGGACGUUGCUGAUAGUUGGGGUGCACAUCAUUGGGAGCUUGCCAGCCAGGAACGAGCACCUGAGCUGGUCGCUUGGGUCGAAAGCAAUGGUGGUCUGGGACUAGUUGAGGGGACGUAUCGCUUCAGGCCUCGGGAGGGCGACAUUCACCUCCUGGGACAACUGCAUGAAGGCGUGGUUGGAUGCUGGGGUCUGGGCACCACCCAGGAUGGAAGCUAGUGCCCUGGCAUUCUGGAAGCCCCCAGCCCUGUCGUCUUGCUUGUCUUCGUUCCUCCUCCUGGGCUGCAGGGGCAGCGAGGGCAGCCUGGUCUCUCGAGGGCGAGCCUCACGAGGUUGGCCGCUUCGCUGGCCCUCCUGAGGAUUAUCACGCCAGCGGUCCUCCUGAGGUUGGCCAUGCCAGGGGUCCUCCUGAGGCUUCUCAUGCCACCCCUGACGUGGCUCACGAUCAUCCCAGCGGACCCCAUUGCGGCCUCCUCCAUGCAGGGUUUCUGUAGAACUGUCCGGGAUCCUGUUGAAGUGUUUGGCAUGAACCAAACGUAGUUCUUGACAUUCAGAGGUGUCAUGGCCGAUGGUGCAAUGGAAGAUGCACGUCGGCCCUCCUCCAGAGGGGCGCUCUCCCCCCUCGAGUAUGCUUCGUUUCAGGCUCGGCGGCUAGUACCGCUGGGGCCUUGCGCUUCAGCUCCUUGGCUUUGGCCUUCUUCUCUUCUGGGUCCGCCGCCUGGGGCCCAAGGAGCGAUAGGCGUCCUUCUUCCGCCUUGGCGCACUUGCUUGCCAAGUUGAACAUCUCCAAUGCGGUGCUCAUUUCAUCGUUCAUGGCAAGCUCUUCCUUCAUCUUGAGGUCGGUGACUCCGUUGGAUAAAGACGAUACGACAGCCUCAUCCGACGCCUUAGGGAUCAUGAGGCGCAUGACAGUCAAACAUUGUAUGAACUUGUGCAGGUUAUCCACCUCUUGCUGCUUGACGCGCCGCAGGUCGAUCACGGUGGGAGCGCGGUCGCGGGUGCCCUGGAAGUUGGCGAUGAAGCGCUCACGCAAGCCGUCCCAGGAGGUAAUGGACGCCUUUGGGAGGUUGAGGAGCCAUGAAAGCGCGCCACCCUUGAGCGCCAUCGGGAACCAACAUGCCAUGAUCUUGUCGCCACCUCCUGCCGCCUUGAUGCUCAGUGUGUAGAGUUGCAGGAACUCUGUCGGGUCUUGGUUUCCGUCGUAACAUGGGGGCAGGUCGGGCUUGAACUUGCAGGGCCAUGUGCCGGGGUAGAUAUCGGGGGCGAUGGUGAAGCACCCCACCGGUCCAACAAGCACAGUACGCGCGGGGGCUGCCUGGUCUUGUUGUUCCUCAGGGUCUGCCUCGAGCAGAGCACGCUCCGGGCGCGAGAUCUACAACGCCAGGGGAGCGCACGCGUUGGCGCGGGGCCUGGGGAUCAUCUGGCAGCUUGCUUCAUCCCCGGGCCUCGCCCUGGGUUCACGCGGCCGAGCACGGAGUCGUGCUUCCUGCCCGGGCUCGGGGUCCGCGACAUGCCGCGGAGGCGAGUAUGGCGCGUCUUGCUCCUCGUUGUUCGUCAGGGACGGCUAGGGCCGGAGCAAGCAGGAGAGUGCCGCUGAGUCACCAGCGGCGGCGAUGAGUUCCUCGAUGCGAUGGAUCGAGUUGUCAUGGCGGUCUAGAGCUGGUCGGUAAGGGAGAAGCUCGGUGGUCAUGGCAAGCGGGCGGCGGCCAUGGGGCCUCCCUAGCCGAGCGCGGGAUGCCGACGCCGAAGGCCUGACGAGCGACGGCGUGGCGGUGCAGCUGUCGACAUGCUCAGUCGGAGGUUGGGAGCAGCCCUGUUGCUCUAGAGCUUCGGGGCUGGUAGCAGCAUUCACCACGGGUGACGGUGACCGACACGCACCGGCAGCACCGACGGGUGCGGUCCGGGCGAUGCGGGUGGCGCGAUGUUCCGCACGUACCCGGUGUGUAUCAGCCAUCAGAGCCAUGGAGUUUGGUGAGGACGGAGCUUGGAGUAAACCUCGACACGCCCCUACCUGGCACGCCAAAUGUUGGAUUUCGGGCUCUGCAAAACCCUAAGGACUCAAACACUGGCGCGUGUACAAAGAUCUCCCCUUCUUCGCCUCGCCUGUCUCACUACUCGAUGGAAACAAUGAAGGACUCACUAGAAGGUGAGGAGAACACAGAACCCAGCAACUUACCCAGGUUCGAGCCGCUAUGAAGCGUAAAACCCUAAUACUGCUUUGGAGGAUUGCCUCUCUUCAAGGUUGAGGAACGAGAUGGUACAUGGCUUUUGCGCCUCCGGAGGCCAAGUGGCUAAGCGUGCUGCACUAGGGUUUCGAUCCCCUCUCUCAAGUAUCUGUUGGGCAAGGUUGCAUGGGAAACAAAAAAAUUCCUACGCACACGAAGACCUAUCAUGGUGAUGUUCAUCUACGAGAGGGAGGUCAUAUCCACAUACCCUUGUAGAUCGCUAAGCACGAAGUGUUAAGAAAUGUAGUUGAUGUAGUGGAACAGCUUUGUGAUUCAAAUCACCAUUGUCCCACGAUCCGUCCCGAUCUAGUACCGAACGGACCACACCUCUGCGUUCAGCGCACGUACAGCUCGAUGACGAUCUCUGCCUUCUUGAUCCAGCAAGAGAGACGGGGAUGUAGAUGAGUUCUCCGGCAGCGUGAUGGCGUGCUGGUGAUGGUGAUGAUCUAUUCCUACAGGGCUCCGCCCGACCUCCGCAAAAAACCGAUCUAGAGGAAGAACUACGAAGUAGAGGUUUAGGGUUUCAUGUGGCAAAGUUUUUUCUCAAGAACACUAAAAUCUCUAGUAUAUAUAGUAGGAGGGGAGGGGCUAGCCUUGGGGAUCAAGAGAGCCCCUAGGGCGUCGGCCGAGUGGAGGAGGAGGGACUCCCACUCCAAUUCGGUUUGGGAAGGAGGAGUCCCUUCCUUCCUUCCCACCUCCCUCUUUUUUUUCUCCUUUGAUUUUUCCUCUUGGACGAAAUAGCCCUAUUAGGCUGGCCUCACCAGCCCACCAAGGGCUGGUGCGCCACCCAUGGCCUAUUAGGUUCUCUCCCGGGUGGGUGGCCCCCUCCCGGUAAAAACCCGGAACCCAUUCAUCACUCCCGGUACACUGCCGGUAAUGCCCGAAAUCUUUCCGGAAGCCAAAUGAAACAAUCCUAUAUAUCAAUCUUCGUUUCCGGACCAUUUCGGAAACUCACUUGAUGUCUGUCAUCUCAUCCGGGAGUCCCAACAAACCUUCGGUCGCCAACACCUAUAACUCAACUAUACUGAAACGUCACCGAACCUUAAGUAUGCAGACCCUGCGGGUUCGAGAACAAUGCAGACAUGACCUGAGACACUCCCUGAUCAAUAUCCAAUGGAGGGACCUGGAUGUCCAUAUUGGAUCCUACAUAUUCUACAAAGAUCUUAUCAGUUGAACCUCUGUGCCAAGGAUUCAUAUAAUCCCGUAUACCAUUCCCUUUGUCCUUCGGUAUGUUACUUUCCCGAGAUUCGAUCGUCGGUAUCCCUAUACCUAUUUAAAUCUCGUUACCGGCAAGUCUCUUUACUCGUUCUGUAAUACAAGAUCCUGUGACAAACACUUUAGUCACAUUUCUUGCAAGGCUUAUAUGUGAUGUUGUAUUACCGAGUGGGCCCCGAGAUACCUCUCCGUCACANNNNNNNNNNNNNNNNNNNNNNNNNNNNNNNNNNNNNNNNNNNNNNNNNNNNNNNNNNNNNNNNNNNNNNNNNNNNNNNNNNNNNNNNNNNNNNNNNNNNAGCAUGUUUUCUCGAGCCAUGUUGGUACAUGAACAUGGACAUACACAUAUUCUUAGGAACAAAUAAGAAAGAUAAAUGGAGAAGGAAAACCCAAAGCAAUGUCAGAGUUGACAAAACUGCAAUGGCACUUUAUAUGUGGCCCAUCGUCAGUGAGCUGUUUAUGCCUUGCCGGACUCCUCGCAGCCUGGUGGCUUGAAGGCGAUGAAGCUGACGCACUGCACCUGACGCAUGUUGUCGAAUCCGAUGAUGCGGACAUACGCGUCAGGGUACUCCUUCUUGACCUCCUCCACCUCGUUGAGCACCUGUGUGGCGUCGGUGCAUCCGAACAUAGGCAGCUUCCACAUUGUCCAGUACCGGCCAUCGUAGUACCCAGGAGAUGCGUUGUGCUCACGGAAGAUGAACCCAACCUUGCUGAACUCGAGGCAAGGCACCCACUUGGAGCGGAUCAGGUAGUCGACCUGCUUAAGGAGGGCCUCCGUGCUGAGUGGUGGCAAGUAAGACAGGGUCUCGAACUUCUUGAUGCCCUCGAUGGGCCACACCUGCAAAUCAGAUUCACGUCUAUACAUUAAGAGACUAUAACUCUAGUUCUACACGUUUGAUUGUUCUUCUUGACAUCCGUCGGCUUAAAAAUGACUAGAAAGACAGAGACGAUGUUGUUUACCUGCAUGCACCUGAUCCUUCCACCGUUGCUGACGCUGCCGAGGCUAGCACCGUUCGAGCGGCGGCUGACGGGGAGGCCGGCGGUGGACUUGAGCCCCUGGAAAGGAGCGACGGAGGUGGCCGACGAGGCCAUCACGGUGGGGGCCAUAGCUGUACUAUGUAGGUAUAUAGCUUGCUAGAGGGAGGCACACUGGCUUGAGGACUG